rnacentral:rRNA from 1 species
UGCAAGUCGAACGGAAAGGCCCUUCGGGUACUCGAGUGGCGAACGGGUGAGUAACACGUGGGUGAUCUGCCCCUGACUUUGGGAUAAGCCUGGGAAACUGGGUCUAAUACCGGAUAUUACCUUCCACUGCAUGGUGGGGGGUGGAAAGCUUUUGCGGUUAGGGAUGGGCCCGCGGCCUAUCAGCUUGUUGGUGGGGUAAUGGCCUACCAAGGCGACGACGGGUAGCCGACCUGAGAGGGUGAUCGGCCACACUGGGACUGAGACACGGCCCAGACUCCUACGGGAGGCAGCAGUGGGGAAUAUUGCACAAUGGGCGGAAGCCUGAUGCAGCGACGCCGCGUGAGGGAUGACGGCUUCGGGUUGUAAACCUCUUUCGCCGGGACGAAGCUUUCGGGGUGACGGUACUUGGA